rnacentral:rRNA from 1 species
CCCGCACAAGCGGCGGAGCAUGCGGAUUAAUCGAUGCAACGCGAAGAACCUUACCAAGGCUUGACAUACACCGGUAACGCCCAGAGAUGGGUGCCCCUUUGUGGUCGGUGUACAGGUGGUGCAUGGUUGUCGUCAGCUCGUGUCGUGAGAUGUCGGGUUAAGUCCCGCAACGAGCGCAACCCUCGUCCUAUGUUGCCAGCGGGUCAUGCCGGGGACUCAUGGGAGACUGCCGGGGUCAACUCGGAGGAAGGUGGGAUGACGUCAAAUCAUCAUGCCCCUUAUGUCUUGGGCUUCACGCAUGCUACAAUGGCCGGUACAAAGGGCUGCGAUACCGCGAGGUGGAGCGAAUCCCAGAAAGCCGGUCUCAGUUCGGAUUGGGGUCUGCAACUCGACCCCAUGAAGUCGGAGUCGCUAGUAAUCGCAGAUCAGCAACGCUGCGGUGAAUACGUUCCCGGGCCUU